rnacentral:rRNA from 1 species
ACCUCCAGCAUCCCUAGUAUUGGAGGCACUGCUUGCCCAGUGACAAACGUUAAACGGCCGCGGUAUCCUGACCGUGCAAAGGUAGCAUAAUCAUUUGUUCUCUAAAUAAGGACUUGUAUGAAUGGCCACACGAGGGUUUUACUGUCUCUUACUUCCAAUCGGUGAAAUUGACCUUCCCGUGAAGAGGCGGGAAUAAAUAAAUAAGACGAGAAGACCCUAUGGAGCUUUAACUAAUUAGUCCAGAGAAAAUUAAGCCCUAACCACCAAGGGACAACAACACUCUCCAUGGACUAACAGCUUUGGUUGGGGUGACCUCGGAGAAUAGAAAAUCCUCCGAGCGAUUUUAAAGACUAGACCGGCAAGUCAAAUCAAACUAUCGCUUAUUGAUCCAAAAACUUGAUCAACGGAACAAGUUACCCUAGGGAUAACAGCGCAAUCCUAUUCAAGAGUCCAUAUCGACAAUAGGGUUUACGACCUCGAUGUUGGAUCAGGACAUCCCGAUGGUGCAACCGCUAUCAAA